AAGCGCAAAGAAGGAAGACAUUAAGUACCUAAGGCCUCAUUCGCACGAGAGCUUUUUUAAAGUCCGUUAAAAAAGUAUUUCAAAUAGAACAAGUGCAUUCCUAAGUAUCUGUUCACACGUCAAGGCUUUUUAACGCGCACUUUGUAUGU